rnacentral:rRNA from 1 species
CCUACGGGAGGCAGCAGUGGGGAAUAUUGGGCAAUGGGCGCAAGCCUGACCCAGCAACGCCGCGUGAAGGAAGAAGGCUUUCGGGUUGUAAACUUCUUUUCUCAGGGACGAAGCAAGUGACGGUACCUGAGGAAUAAGCCACGGCUAACUACGUGCCAGCAGCCGCGGUAAUACGUAGGUGGCAAGCGUUAUCCGGAUUUACGGGGGGUAAAGGGCGUGUAGGCGGGAAAGCAAGUCAGAUGUGAAAACCAUGGUCACAACCUGUGGCCUGCAUUUGAAACGGUUUUUCUGGAGUACUGGAGAGGCAGACGGAAUUCCGAGGGGAGAGGUGAAAUGCG